CCGGCACGGGUGAGUAACACGUAUCCAACCUGCCGUCUACUCUUGGACAGCCUUCUGAAAGGAAGAUUAAUACAAGAUGGCAUCAUGAGUCCGCAUGUUCACAUGAUUAAAGGUAUUCCGGUAGACGAUGGGGAUGCGUUCCAUUAGAUAGUAGGCGGGGUAACGGCCCACCUAGUCUUCGAUGGAUAGGGGGUCUGAGAGGAAGGUCCCCCACAUUGGAACUGAGACACGGUCCAA
rnacentral:rRNA from 1 species